UACUACGGCCAUGCCACCCUGAACACACACGAUCUCGUCUGUUCUCGGAAGCUAAGCAGGGUUGGGCCUGGUUAGUACUUGGAUGGGAGAUCACCUAGGAAGACCAGGUGCUGUAGGCA
rnacentral:rRNA from 1 species